GCCAGACUCCUACGGGAGGCAGCAGUGGGGAAUAUUGCACAAUGGGCGAAAGCCUGAUGCAGCAACGCCGCGUGAAGGAAGAAGGGUUUCGGCUCGUAAACUUCUAUCAACAGGGACGAAAGAAAUGACGGUACCUGAAUAAGAAGCCCCGGCUAACUACGUGCCAGCAGCCGCGGUAAUACGUAGGGGGCAAGCGUUAUCCGGAUUUACUGGGUGUAAAGGGAGCGUAGACGGCGGGGCAAGUCUGGAGUGAAAGGCCGGGGCCCAACCCCGGGACCGCUCUGGAAACUGCCCGGCUGGAGUGCGGGAGAGGUAAGCGGAAUUCCUAGUGUAGCGGUGAAAUGCGUAGAUAUUAGGAAGAACACCGGUGGCGAAGGCGGCUUUCUGGACAUAAACUGACGUUGAGGCACGAAAGUGUGGGGAGCAAACAGGAUUAGAUACCCCAGUCCUA
rnacentral:rRNA from 1 species